rnacentral:lncRNA from 1 species
UACGGGUAUCCACCAGGAUCGAUCUCGAAUUUUUUCUUCUCGUAUGAGAUUCUUCUUUUCAAGAAGAACCUUGGCCUUGAAGACUUUGAUCAACUCCUUUAAUCUUAACUACGACAUUAACUCCUUGAUCCACAGCCUUCUUCUUCUUCUCUUCGAUCUUUGAUCUUUAAGUCAUCAGAACUUCUUCUAGGCAUAUGAAAGAGA